AUUGAACGCUGGCGGCAUGCUUUACACAUGCAAGUCGAGCGGCAGCGCGGGGGCGAACCCUGGCGGCGAGCGGCGGACGGGUGAGUAAGUGCAUCGGAACGUAUCCCGUAGUGGGGGACAACCCAGCGAAAGUUGGGGCUAAUACCGCAUACGCUCUACGGAGGAAAGUGGGGGACUUCGCAAGGAGCCUCACGCUAGGGCGCGGCCGAUGUCCGAUUAGCUAGUUGGGGGGUAAUGGCUCACCAAGGCGACGAUCGGUAGCUGGUCUGAGAGGAUGAUCAGCCACACUGGGACUGAGACUACGGCCCAGACUCCUACGGGAGGCAGCAGUGGGAUUUUGGACAAGUGGGGCAACCCUGAUCCAGCCAUGCCGCGUGAGUGAAGAAGGCCG
rnacentral:rRNA from 1 species